CUAAUACAUGCAAGUCGAACGAACUCUGGUAUUGAUUGGUGCUUGCAUCAUGAUUUACAUUUGAGUGAGUGGCGAACUGGUGAGUAACACGUGGGAAACCUGCCCAGAAGCGGGGGAUAACACCUGGAAACAGAUGCUAAUACCGCAUAACAACUUGGACCGCAUGGUCCGAGCUUGAAAGAUGGCUUCGGCUAUCACUUUUGGAUGGUCCCGCGGCGUAUUAGCUAGAUGGUGGGGUAACGGCUCACCAUGGCAAUGAUACGUAGCCGACCUGAGAGGGUAAUCGGCCACAUUGGGACUGAGACACGGCCCAAACUCCUACGGGAGGCAGCAGUAGGGAAUCUUCCACAAUGGACGAAAGUCUGAUGGAGCAACGCCGCGUGAGUGAAGAAGGGUUUCGGCUCGUAAAACUCUGUUGUUAAAGAAGAACAUAUCUGAGAGUAACUGUUCAGGUAUUGACGGUAUUUAACCAGAAAGCCACGGCUAACUACGUGCCAGCAGCCGCGGUAAUACGUAGGUGGCAAGCGUUGUCCGGAUUUAUUGGGCGUAAAGCGAGCGCAGGCGGUUUUUUAAGUCUGAUGUGAAAGCCUUCGGCUCAACCGAAGAAGUGCAUCGGAAACUGGGAAACUUGAGUGCAGAAGAGGACAGUGGAACUCCAUGUGUAGCGGUGAAAUGCGUAGAUAUAUGGAAGAACACCAGUGGCGAAGGCGGCUGUCUGGUCUGUAACUGACGCUGAGGCUCGAAAGUAUGGGUAGCAAACAGGAUUAGAUACCCUGGUAGUCCAUACCGUAAACGAUGAAUGCUAAGUGUUGGAGGGUUUCCGCCCUUCAGUGCUGCAGCUAACGCAUUAAGCAUUCCGCCUGGGGAGUACGGCCGCAAGGCUGAAACUCAAAGGAAUUGACGGGGGCCCGCACAAGCGGUGGAGCAUGUGGUUUAAUUCGAAGCUACGCGAAGAACCUUACCAGGUCUUGACAUACUAUGCAAAUCUAAGAGAUUAGACGUUCCCUUCGGGGACAUGGAUACAGGUGGUGCAUGGUUGUCGUCAGCUCGUGUCGUGAGAUGUUGGGUUAAGUCCCGCAACGAGCGCAACCCUUAUUAUCAGUUGCCAGCAUUAAGUUGGGCACUCUGGUGAGACUGCCGGUGACAAACCGGAGGAAGGUGGGGAUGACGUCAAAUCAUCAUGCCCCUUAUGACCUGGGCUACACACGUGCUACAAUGGAUGGUACAACGAGUUGCGAACUCGCGAGAGUAAGCUAAUCUCUUAAAGCCAUUCUCAGUUCGGAUUGUAGGCUGCAACUCGCCUACAUGAAGUCGGAAUCGCUAGUAAUCGCGGAUCAGCAUGCCGCGGUGAAUACGUUCCCGGGCCUUGUACACACCGCCCGUCACACCAUGAGAGUUUGUAACACCCAAAGUCGGUGGGGUAACCUUUU
rnacentral:rRNA from 1 species